rnacentral:tRNA from 1 species
GGAGGGGUUCCCGAGUGGCUAAAGGGAGCAGACUGUAAAUCUGCCGGCUCCGCCUUCGAUGGUUCGAAUCCGUCCC